rnacentral:rRNA from 1 species
CCCUUAGAUGUCCUGGGCUGCACGCGCGCUACACUGAUGUGUCCAGUAAGCACCUAACCUAUUCCGAGAGGAGCGGGUAACCUUAGCAAAGCACAUCGUGAUGGGGAUAGAUUAUUGCAAUUAUUAGUCUUGAACGAGGAAUUCCUAGUAAGCACAAGUCAUCAGCUUGUGUUGAUUACGUCCCUGCCCUUUGUACACACCGCCCGUCGCUCCUACCGAUUGGAUGUUCCGGUGAGCUCUUCGGACUGCGCGGUCUGCAGUUUCUGCGUUCCGUGCGGAAAGUUGUGCAAACCUUAACAUUUAGAGGAAGGAGAAGUCGUAACA